rnacentral:rRNA from 1 species
UAGGGAAUCUUCCACAAUGGGCGAAAGCCUGAUGGAGCAACGCCGCGUGUGUGAUGAAGGGUUUCGGCUCGUAAACACUGUUGUAAGAGAAGAAUGACAUUGAGGGUAACUGUUCAAUGUGUGACGGUAUCUUACCAGAAAGGAACGGCUAAAUACGUGCCAC